rnacentral:rRNA from 1 species
CAGGGGGGCGUGCUAUACAUGCAGUCGAGCGGACCGACGGGAGCUUGCUCCCUUAGGUCAGCGGCGGACGGGUGAGUAACACGUGGGUAACCUGCCUGUAAGACUGGGAUAACUCCGGGAAACCGGGGCUAAUACCGGAUGCUUGAUUGAACCGCAUGGUUCAAUCAUAAAAGGUGGCUUUUAGCUACCACUUGCAGAUGGACCCGCGGCGCAUUAGCUAGUUGGUGAGGUAACGGCUCACCAAGGCGACGAUGCGUAGCCGACCUGAGAGGGUGAUCGGCCACACUGGGACUGAGACACGGCCCAGACUCCUACGGGAGGCAGCAGUAGGGAAUCUUCCGCAAUGGACGAAAGUCUGACGGAGCAACGCCGCGUGAGUGAUGAAGGUUUUCGGAUCGUAAAACUCUGUUGUUAGGGAAGAACAAGUACCGUUCGAAUAGGGCGGCACCUUGACGGUACCUAACCAGAAAGCCACGGCUAACUACGUGCCAGCAGCCGCGGUAAUACGUAGGUGGCAAGCGUUGUCCGGAAUUAUUGGGCGUAAAGCGCGCGCAGGCGGUUUCUUAAGUCUGAUGUGAAAGCCCCCGGCUCAACCGGGGAGGGUCAUUGGAAACUGGGGAACUUGAGUGCAGAAGAGGAGAGUGGAAUUCCACGUGUAGCGGUGAAAUGCGUAGAGAUGUGGAGGAACACCAGUGGCGAAGGCGACUCUCUGGUCUGUAACUGACGCUGAGGCGCGAAAGCGUGGGGAGCGAACAGGAUUAGAUACCCUGGUAGUCCACGCCGUAAACGAUGAGUGCUAAGUGUUAGAGGGUUUCCGCCCUUUAGUGCUGCAGCAAACGCAUUAAGCACUCCGCCUGGGGAGUACGGUCGCAAGACUGAAACUCAAAGGAAUUGACGGGGGCCCGCACAAGCGGUGGAGCAUGUGGUUUAAUUCGAAGCAACGCGAAGAACCUUACCAGGUCUUGACAUCCUCUGACAACCCUAGAGAUAGGGCUUCCCC